CCCUCCCUGCCCGUCUCCUCCCCCUCGGCUCGUCUGCUCCCUGGCGUGACUCGGCACUCCGAGCUCCGGGGACGACACGUCGUGGUCGCCGCUCCGGUCCAGGCCCCGGCCUCCCGCAGCUCCUCUGGGCCUCUCUCGGCCUUUCUUUUUGAGUUUUGAAGCCGGAAGCGUCGCGGCCGCCCUGCCGGGCUCUCUGUGAGGAUGGUGGGAGUGAAGCCGGUCGGCAGCGAUCCAGAUUUCCAGCCGGAGCUGAGUGGGGCGGGCUCCCGACUUGCUGUGGUCAAGUUCACCAUGAGAGGGUGUGGACCGUGUUUGAGGAUUGCUCCAGCAUUCAGUUCUAUGAGUAAUAAGUAUCCACAGGCAGUUUUCUUGGAAGUAGAUGUACAUCAGUGCCAGGGAACAGCUGCCACGAACAAUAUCUCAGCAACACCUACAUUUUUGUUUUUUCGAAACAAAGUGAGAAUCGAUCAGUAUCAAGGAGCAGAUGCUGUGGGACUAGAAGAGAAAAUCAAGCAGCAUCUAGAAAAUGAUCCUGGAAGCAACGAGGACACAGACAUUCCGAAGGGCUAUAUGGAUUUAAUGCCUUUUAUUAACAAAGCUGGUUGUGAAUGUCUUAAUGAAAGUGAUGAGCAUGGCUUUGACAACUGUUUACGAAAAGACAUGUCCUUCUUGGAAUCUGACUGUGAUGAGCAGCUACUUAUUACUGUGGCAUUCAACCAACCUGUUAAGCUGUAUUCCAUGAAAUUUCAAGGACCAGAUAAUGGUCAAGGUCCUAAAUAUGUAAAAAUUUUUAUCAACCUACCCCGAUCUAUGGAUUUUGAGGAGGCAGAAAGGAGUGAGCCAACUCAAGCUCUGGAACUGACAGAAGAUGACAUUAAAGAAGAUGGCAUUGUCCCUCUUCGUUAUGUUAAAUUUCAGAAUGUUAACAGUGUAACUUUAUUCGUUCAGUCUAAUCAAGGUGAAGAAGAGACAACGAGAAUUUCAUAUUUUACUUUCAUUGGUACUCCAGUGCAGGCAACAAAUAUGAAUGACUUCAAACGACUUUUUUAAUACAACUCAAUGAACUAAAACUGGAAGAUUUUCUUUUUUAAUGAAGUAAUAUAAAGAUAGACUUUGUCUCAUUGUACCCCUUCCUUGCUUCAUUACUCAUCUGUCACCUACCUACUCUCACCCUCCCCAUGUCCUCAAUUGUUGCUGCGAGAUUUCUUCAGCUUCAGCAUCUGGAUCAGCCUUCUUGUUACCUAGAUUGCCUCAACCACCUCUUCCUUCAGAUUUCAUCCCACUCAUGACUCUCAGUUGGCCCUUUAUUUUGCUUGCAAUUAUAGGUGCCUUAAUUUUCCUACCAUAUUAUGUUGCUCAUAAGGCAGUUUUAUUUUUGUUUUUUUUAACCUUCUGCUGUUUCCUAUUUAAUUUUGUUCAAUAUUUUAAGAAAUAAUUUUGGAGUAAAACUUAUGUUAAAAGUGCUUUCAAACGUAAUUAGUUGAGUAAUAUUUUUAUCCAUUUUAGAGUUUUAUAUUUUAGGAACAGGAGAAUUGUUUUGGAAAGUAAAUAUAACUUUUUUGUUCUUUUUUUUUUUCUAACUAGAGCAGUGUUACAUACAUUUUUGGUUUUAGUUGCAAAUUAUGAAUUUUCUUAUUGGAACAUUUGCCACAAAAUCUUUUUGUGGUUGUAUUCUCUCAUGCUUACCCAUGUGAGCUCAAGUCCAGUUGAAGAAUGUAUGGACUAAACAGGCUGGGUUAAAACUCUAAUGUGGAAGACCAAUGGAUUCUUUACUGAAUGAAAGUUUUUAACAUCUAAUUUUGAUGUACCUAGACUUUGGUUUAUCUGAGAUGUAACAUAAAGACUUAAAACAGAAUGAAAGAGCUUUAUGUUUGGGGUAGUUGGCAAAAAAGGAGAAAGUCAUUAGGGUACAAAAGACACUGGAAGACUUAACUGCAGUCAGAUUUGCAGCUCCUGGAUAAUUGCUUGAUUCUCUUCGGAAACUGUUAAUCUAUUAUUUGUUGCCAUUACCAAUAAAUCAUUGCUUUUGUUCAGAUGGUAUCACUAGUGUUUCUAUUGUAAUCUUGAUACAUGCAGUUGUAAAUAAUAAAAGUCAGUACUUUUGCCAAGCUUAUAUUUUGUCAUUCUAUAUAAAUGCAUUCUCUCUCUUGUUUUUAUUUGAAUAUUGGCUAACUUUUUGUUUUAGAAGAGCUGUGUCUGAAAUCCCAUUGGCUACAAGCUAGUCUGUCUCUAGAGGAAUAGAAUGUUAGAGGAAUUAAGAGUACUGUCUGCACAUGUAGAGUGUUUUGAUACAUGGAUUUGAAAUGUGUCUACACAUGUGGAAUGUUUUGAUGCAUGGAUUUGGAAUAACCAUGUUUGAGUGAGUAUUGACUUUGUAUUUUAUCAAAAGAUAUUUGGGUAUAUCUAGGCUUUAUAAAUUUCCUCAAAUUAUAAACAGCCACUAAUCUUAUCUAUCACUGGUAGUUAACAGGUCUACAAAUGCUCUGUUUUUAGGGGAGAGUCUUGCUAUAUAGCAUAGGCUAGCCUCAUCAUUUAUACCCUUUUGUGCCUACCUCCCAAAGGCUGGGAUUGUAGGCAUGUACCACCAAACCUGGUCUCAUGUCAAGAUUUUAACUCUUUUUGUAUAAACCUAAAACUUAGAGUCAGAUAUUUUCUUUAAUAAUAAAGGUAUUAAUAUUGAAUUCAGACAGUUGGCAAAAUAUAAUACAGUGAAUUUAUGGAAAAAUUGGAAUUUAGUAUCUAAUCUAAUAUUUAUUAAUUAAACUCACCAAACAUUCACUAUAAAUGCAUAGGUACAGUAUACAAUUUAAGGUUGAAAGUGAGUCGUCCUAACUGGUUUUAACGAUCUUUUACAAAAAACUGGCUAAACAAAAUAUUUGUUCUUAUGUGCUUUUUUAACCUUACAAUUGAACAUAGACUAAAAUAUUGGAAAAUUUAAUGUUUUUUUAUUUCAUGUGUGCAAAAUGUGUUUGGCCUCCUCUGUGUGUGUAUAUUCAUGUAUAUGUAGACUGGAAGAGCAUCAAAACCUCAAGGAUAGGAGUGACAGAUGCUUGGGAACUGAAUGUAGGCCUCUACAGGGCUGCUGCUCCAGCCCUAUGAAUUUAUCUUUUAAUUCAGUAUUUCAAAAGCAUAUGUAAGAUUAUAGCUUGUAAUUCAGUUAAUGCAUUUGAGGACAUUCUUAUCUAGAAAUAGUGCCGAGAUUUGCCCUUUCAAUACUAAUGUAUUUAUACACGGUUAUGAUAAAGCUGUGGAAGUUUUAGUGUUGAAGUAGCCCUCUUCUGAAACUUGUGUUGUCAGGUAAUGUUCAGUUCAUUUGUUUGUGAGCACAGUAACCGAUCUGUGAUAUUUGUAUUCUAUGUAUUUCACAGUCUUGUUGACUUAGAACAAAAGGAAGACAAAAAAUAAAAAGUUUAUAAUGCAAACCAUCUGAAGUUAAUCACACCUGAAUGAAGAACAAGAUUAACAUCAAGAGUUUUAGUUUAUACUUGCCCUUUUUGGGUAAUCAUUGAAGUGCCUCAUCUCAAGUGUAAAUGAAAAACCAAGUAGAAGUAGCUUCACAUUUGCAAAGGUUCAGACAUCAGAUUUUUGUUGUCAUAUGACUUCUGUAACUUUAUUGCAGCAUACAGAUAUUCUGUCACUCAAGUUGUAAAUUGUGAGGAAUGCUAGUAGGAAGCCUAUAUGUGUCACAAGUUUUCUUUGUGCAAAAAAUAAAAAAUAAAAACACGUAGUUGAUAUGUAAAACAUCAAGCUAAAAUGCUAUUUUCUGUUAAACUAAACAGUACAUAGUUACCUGUAAAUAUAUGUAUACACACGUAUAAAAUAUUUACAUGUAACAGUUUUCCAGAAAAGAACAUGAGGAAUAUGUAACCUUGGUUAUUUUAACAUUAGUGUUUUCUAGAAAACAAAUAUUAGUUUGUUUUGUCAAUCUAUAUUUUGUCAAACUAUAUUUGUCUAAAAACAAUCUAUUUGUAUGUAUCUUGUUUUUCUUAUCAAGACAUAUAGUGAAAUACUUUGUCAGCAGAAACAGUACCAUAGGAAGGUUUUGUCAGAGGAAACCUAAGAAUAAGACUAGCACUUGUUACUGUACUGUUGUGUUCGUAUUGGUCCUUUGUAAAAGUGCUUUGACUGGCUGGCUGUCAGGGACCAAAUGCCCCCUCUUGUACAUGAAUGUAUUGGAUGGAGGUAGUCACUUAGCUGUCUACCAGCCAUGUUUGUCUAAAUGAUUAAAGAUGUAUAAGGCU